rnacentral:miRNA from 1 species
GACGUCGAUAUACGACGUCAUAAACACGAUCAACUUUGGUGUUUAUGACGUCGAUAUACGACGUCAUAAACACGAUCAACUUUGGUGUUUAUGACGUCGAUAUUCGACGUCAUAAACACGAUCAACUUUGGUGUUUAUGACGUCGAUAUACGACGUCAUAAACACGGUCAACUUUGGUGUUGAUGACGUCGAUAUUCGACGUCAUAAACACGAUCAACUUUGGUGUUUAUGACGUCGAUAUACGACGUC